GGGCGGUGACGUUGAUCGGCAUUAUUGGGCGUAAGGGCUCGCAGGCGGUUUCUUAAGUCUGAUGUGAAAGCCCCCGGCUCAACCGGGGAGGGUCAUUGGAAACUGGGGAACUUGAGUGCAGAAGAGGAGAGUGGAAUUCCACGUGUAGCGGUGAAAUGCGUAGAGAUGUGGAGGAACACCAGUGGCGAAGGCGACUCUCUGGUCUGUAACUGACGCUGAGGAGCGAAAGCGUGGGGAGCGAACAGGAUUAGAUACCCUGGUAGUCCACGCCGUAAACGAUGAGUGCUAAGUGUUAGGGGGUUUCCGCCCCUUAGUGCUGCAGCUAACGCAUUAAGCACUCCGCCUGGGGAGUACGGUCGCAAGACUGAAACUCAAAGGAAUUGACGGGGGCCCGCACAAGCGGUGGAGCAUGUGGUUUAAUUCGAAGCAACGCGAAGAACCUUACCAGGUCUUGACAUCCUCUGACAAUCCUAGAGAUAGGACGUCCCCUUCGGGGGCAGAGUGACAGGUGGUGCAUGGUUGUCGUCAGCUCGUGUCGUGAGAUGUUGGGUUAAGUCCCGCAACGAGCGCAACCCUUGAUCUUAGUUGCCAGCAUUCAGUUGGGCACUCUAAGGUGACUGCCGGUGACAAACCGGAGGAAGGUGGGGAUGACGUCAAAUCAUCAUGCCCCUUAUGACCUGGGCUACACACGUGCUACAAUGGACAGAACAAAGGGCAGCGAAACCGCGAGGUUAAGCCAAUCCCACAAAUCUGUUCUCAGUUCGGAUCGCAGUCUGCAACUCGACUGCGUGAAGCUGGAAUCGCUAGUAAUCGCGGAUCAGCAUGCCCGGUGGAAUACCUUUCCCGGGCCUUGUACACACCGCCCGUCACACCACGAGAGUUUGUAACACCCGAAGUCGGUGAGGUAACCUUUUAGGAGCCAGCCGCCGAAGGUGGGACAGAUGAUUGGGGUGAAUCUAGAGGGGCAAACCCCCCACAUAUAAAAAAGAGAACAAGG
rnacentral:rRNA from 1 species